AGGCUGGGCUUUUCCAUGGUGGUGUUCCCCCAGGUCCCACCGCAGCCUGUCUCCUCUGUCACUCUGCGGGCCUACCCAGUCUUGUGGUUUCAACGACCUCCUGCCUGCCGAUGACUUUUGAACUCACAUCCAACCCAGGACGUCCUAGAGCUGCAGGUGGUGUAUCCAGCUUCCUGGGGUCCGUCUCCACUGGAGGUUUGUAGUCCCAAACUCAAACUCCUAAUUUCCUUCCAGGAACGUGCCAGAAGCUGCUGCUGCUCCUGUGUUUCCAGUCUUAAUGACGGAUAGCACCACCUCCCACUCCAGGCCGUACUGGGGAGCCAUCCUUGACUCUCUCCUUUUCAUCUCUCACGUGAAAUGUGUCACCAAGGGAGGAAAUGGAACCAGUCAUUACUCCACUGUUUUCCUUUCAUCAUUAAGUGUGAACAGGGCAAAUGGCUCUUUACUCUUUAUCUGCUAUCCCACUAUCCACAAACCUUCAGGCAAAGCCAUUUAAGAGGUUCUCUGAGGCAACAAAGAAGGAAGAGUCAUGUUGCACCCUGAAAUAACCCAGGAAAGAAAAGAAGGCAGUUGCCAGGGGAAAAAGAAGAUUAGCACAUAACAAGGAAAGAGAACCCAAAGGUCACUAUGACACAGAAGCUCUUCCCAAGAAUCUUCAGAAAUCUUGGAGAGAAUACUGGACAAGCCCCUAACGGCUCAAGGUGGGCAGAAGUUCCCAUCACUCAUGAUUUUUCUAAAGACUGAGUCUUUGAGAAA
rnacentral:lncRNA from 1 species